rnacentral:tRNA from 1 species
GUCGGCGUGGGUUCCGGCUGGGGCUCCGGUUCCGGUUCGGGUUCCGGUUCCGGUUCGGGUUCGGGCGCCGGUUC